UACGAAGGGUGCAAGCGUUACUCGGAAUUACUGGGCGUAAAGCGUGCGUAGGUGGUUUGUUAAGUCUGUUGUGAAAGCCCCGGGCUCAACCUGGGAAUGGCAAUGGAUACUGGCAGGCUAGAGUGCGGUAGAGGGUAGUGGAAUUCCCGGUGUAGCGGUGAAAUGCGUAGAGAUCGGGAGGAACACCAGUGGCGAAGGCGGCUACCUGGACCAGCACUGACACUGAGGAGCGAAAGCGUGGGGAGCAAACAGG
rnacentral:rRNA from 1 species